rnacentral:rRNA from 1 species
UACGUAGGGACCGAGCGUUGUCCGGAUUCAUUGGGCGUAAAGAGCUCGUAGGCGGCUGUUCAAGUCGAACGUGAAAACUCGGAGCUCAACUCCGAGCCUGCGUUCGAUACUGGACGGCUAGAGUCUGGUAGGGGGAUCUGGAAUUCCUGGUGUAGCGGUGGAAUGCGCAGAUAUCAGGAGGAACGCCGAUAGCGAAGGCAGCUCGCUGGGACGGUACUGACGCUGAGGCGCGAAAGCGUGGGGAGCGAACAGG